rnacentral:rRNA from 1 species
AAUCCAUAGGUUAAUGAGGCGAACCGGGGGAACUGAAACAUCUAAGUACCCCGAGGAAAAGAAAUCAACCGAGAUUCCCCCAGUAGCGGCGAGCGAACGGGGAGGAGCCCAGAGCCUGAAUCAGCAUGUGUGUUAGUGGAAGCGUCUGGAAAGGCGCGCGAUACAGGGUGACAGCCCCGUACACAAAAGCGCAUGUGCUGUGAGCUCGAUGAGUAGGGCGGGACACGUGGUAUCCUGUCUGAAUAUGGGGGGACCAUCCUCCAAGGCUAAAUACUCCUGACUGACCGAUAGUGAACCAGUACCGUGAGGGAAAGGCGAAAAGAACCCCGGCGAGGGGAGUGAAAAAGA